rnacentral:rRNA from 1 species
GACGAACGCUGGCGGCGUGCUUAACACAUGCAAGUCGAACGGAAAGGCCCUGCUUUUGUGGGGUGCUCGAUUGGCGAACGGGUGAGUAACACGCGAGUAUCCUGCCCUUGUCUUUGGGAUAACUUCAGGAAACUGGGGCUAAUACCGGAUAGGAACUCCUGCUGCAUGGUGGGGGUUGGAAAGUUUCGGCGGUUGGGGAUGGACUCGCGGCUUAUCAGCUUGUUGGUGGGGUGGUGGCUUACAAAGGGGUUGACGGGUAGCCGGCCUGAGAGGGUGACCGGCCACAUUGAGACUGAGAUACGGCCCAGACUCCGACGGGAGGCAGCAGUGGGGAAUAUUGCACAAUGGGCGGAAGCCUGAUGCAGCAGCGCCGCGUGCGGGAUGACGGCCUUCGGGUUGUAAACCGCUUUCGCCUGUGACGAAGCGUGAGUUGCGGUAAUGGGUAAAGAAGCACCGGCUAACUACGUG